GAGGCGAGCUGGACAUAUCACAAGUGCGAAUGCUGACAUGAGUAACGAUAAGGGGAGUGAAAAACUCCCCCGCCGGAAGACCAAGGUUUCCUGUCCCAUGCUAAUCAGGGCAGGGUAAGUCGGCCCCUAAGGCGAGGCAGAAAUGCGUAGUCGAUGGGAAACGGAUUAAUAUUUCCGUACUUGGUAUAUCAGUGAAGGGGGGACGGAGAAGGUUAUGCAAGCCUGGCGUUGGUUGUCCAGGUGAAAGUGCGUAGAGUUGUUUCUUAGGCAAAUCCGGGAAACUACAUGCUCGAGACACGAGACGAGACUCUAAGGAGUUGAAGUUGCAAAUACCAUGCUUCCAGGAAAAGCCUCUAAACUUAUGAUAUAUCGAACCGUACCCCAAACCGACACAGGUGGUCAGGUAGAGAAUACUAAGGCGCUUGAGAGAACUCGGGUGAAGGAACUAGGCAAAAUCGUACCGUAACUUCGGGAGAAGGUACGCUCCUAUCUGUGAUGAGACUUGCUCUCUAAGCGGACGGGAGCCGCAGUGACCAGGUGGCUGGGACUGUUUAUUAAAAACACAGCACUGUGCUAAAUCGAAAGAUGACGUAUACGGUGUGACGCCUGCCCGGUGCCGGAAGGUUAAUUGAUGGGGUUAUCCUUAGGGAGAAGCUCUUGAUCGAAGCCCCGGUAAACGGCGGCCGUAACAAUAACGGUCCUAAGGUAG
rnacentral:rRNA from 1 species